rnacentral:rRNA from 1 species
CGGGACUGUAGGCGGCGUCUUACACAUGCAAGUCGAACGAUGAACCGGUUUCGGCCGGGGAUUAGUGGCGAACGGGUGAGUAACACGUGGGCAAUCUGCCCUGCACUCUGGGAUAAGCCCGGGAAACUGGGUCUAAUACCGGAUACGACACUCCGAGGCAUCUUGGGGUGUGGAAAGUUCCGGCGGUGCAGGAUGAGCCCGCGGCCUAUCAGCUUGUUGGUGGGGUAAUGGCCUACCAAGGCGACGACGGGUAGCCGGCCUGAGAGGGUGACCGGCCACACUGGGACUGAGACACGGCCCAGACUCCUACGGGAGGCAGCAGUGGGGAAUAUUGCACAAUGGGCGAAAGCCUGAUGCAGCGACGCCGCGUGAGGGAUGACGGCCUUCGGGUUGUAAACCUCUUUCAGCAGGGAAGAAGCGAAAGUGACGGUACCUGCAGAAGAAGCACCGGCUAACUACGUGCCAGCAGCCGCGAGUACAUAACGUUAGGGCUGCGAGUCGUUGUCCGAGUAAAUCAUUGGGCGUAAAAGAUGCUCGUACGUCGGUUUGUAGUCGUCGAUUGAUGAACACCCCCGGGCUUAACCCCCCGCGUCUGCAGUCGAUACGGUGCAGCCUAGAGUUCGGCAGGGGAGACUGGAAACUCCCUGGUUGUAGCUGGUGAAAUGCGCAGAUAUCAGGAGGAAACACCGCGUGGCCGAAAGCGGCGUCUCUGGGACGAUACUGACGCUCAAGAGAGCGAAAGCGUGGGGAGCGAACAGGAUUAGAUACCCCUGGUAGUCCACGUCCGGAACACAGAAGGCACUAGGUGUGCGGCAACAUUCCCACGUUGAUCCGUGCCGCAGUCUAACGCAUUCAAGUGCCCCGCCUGGUGUACUAGCGGCCGCAACUUUGUGCUAAAACUCAGUAAGGAGAUUGACAGACGCCCGCUACAAGCGCCGGAGCAUCAGGAUUAAUAUCGACGCAACGCGAAGAACCUUACCAAGGCAUUGACAUACAUCCUGAAGACGGCCACAGAUGGUCGCCCCCUUGUGGUCGGCAAUACAGCGUGGUGCAUGGCUGUCGUCAGCUCGUGUCGUGAGAUGUUGGGUUAAGUCCCGCAACGAGCGCAACCCUUGUCCUGUGUUGCCAGCGGCCUCUUCGGAGGGCCGGGGACUCACGGGAGACUGCCGGGGUCAACUCGGAGGAAGGUGGGGACGACGUCAAGUCAUCAUGCCCCUUAUGUCUUGGGCUGCACACGUGCUACAAUGGCCGGUACAAUGAGCUGCGAUGCCGUGAGGUGGAGCGAAUCUCAAAAAGCCGGUCUCAGUUCGGAUUGGGGUCUGCAACUCGACCCCAUGAAGUCGGAGUCGCUAGUAAUCGCAGAUCAGCAUUGCUGCGGUGAAUACGUUCCCGGGCCUUGUACACACCGCCCGUCACGUCAUGAAAGUCGGUAACACCCGAAGCCGGUGGUACUAACCCCUUGUGGGAGAGAGCCGUCGAAAGGGGGACCCACCGGUUC